UAAUACGGAGGGUGCAAGCGUUAUCCGGAUUCACUGGGUUUAAAGGGAGCGCAGGUGGGCUUGUAAGUCAGUGGUGAAAUCUCCGAGCUUAACUCGGAAACUGCCAUUGAUACUAUAGGUCUUGAAUAUUGUGGAGGUUAGCGGAAUAUGUCAUGUAGCGGUGAAAUGCAUAGAUAUGACAUAGAACACCAAUUGCGAAGGCAGCUGGCUACACAUAUAUUGACACUGAGGCUCGAAAGCGUGGGUAGCGAACAGG
rnacentral:rRNA from 1 species